GACGAACGCUGGCGGCGUGCCUAAUACAUGCCAGUAGAACGCUGAAGGAGGAGCUUGCUUCUCUGGAUGAGUUGCGAACGGGUGAGUAACGCGUAGGUAACCUGCCUGGUAGCGGGGGAUAACUAUUGGAAACGAUAGCUAAUACCGCAUAAUAGUAGAUGUUGCAUGACAUUUGCUUAAAAGGUGCAAUUGCAUCACUACCAGAUGGACCUGCGUUGUAUUAGCUAGUUGGUGAGGUAACGGCUCACCAAGGCAACGAUACAUAGCCGACCUGAGAGGGUGAUCGGCCACACUGGGACUGAGACACGGCCCAGACUCCUACGGGAGGCAGCAGUAGGGAAUCUUCGGCAAUGGACGGAAGUCUGACCGAGCAACGCCGCGUGAGUGAAGAAGGUUUUCGGAUCGUAAAGCUCUGUUGUAAGAGAAGAACGGGUGUGAGAGUGGAAAGUUCACACUGUGACGGUAUCUUACCAGAAAGGGACGGCUAACUACGUG
rnacentral:rRNA from 1 species